AAAAAGUGUUCCAAGAGAAGAGCUCAUAUUUUUAAAUGUUUCCUUCAUGGGCAGAAAUAUCUUAUUAUGCUACUGCCCAGAAUAGCUGCUCCAUUAUUAUUUUUUUAAUGUAAUGCUUUUACAUUUAUUCAAACAAAUGCUAAAAGGUUAUCUGUUUAAGAGCAUGGCUGAAAUCACGUAUGACCUCUGAAACCUCCAUUCUUCUUGAAAAGAAAUUGAAUUUUCAGAGCUCACAUUCUGGCCCUGGAGUUUCUUUAUUGCAUUUGAUGUUUGUCUCCAGGGGUUUCCAUGUGGCUGUAGCUCCCACCUUCACCAUUGUUCUAUCACUGCUGAACCUUAUUACUUUCCAUUUCUUAUUUCAAAAAAAAAAAAAUCCAAUAAAACCAAUUUCUUCACUUUGAUUCUCUUGGAGAAAAUUAGGAAAAAAGUAAGGAAUGGAUUUCAGUAUGGGCACCAAUAAUGUCUAAAAUCACAAUUGGCCCCGUGACAAGUCCUAGUAUUUAGAAGUAUUAUUCUUUGGGCAAAAUGCCUAUACAACUAUAUAACGUGACGUUAAAUUUUCGCAUUGAGCUCCUCUGUGGGCAGCAGUAAGCACUGGAUGAAUACCUGACCCUUCCGAAGUUUAUUAUUUAUCAUUGAGACAGGCAGUUGUAGAAGUUUAUUAUUUAUCAGUGAGACAGGCAGUUGUAGAUGCUGUAGACAGAAGUAUGCAAAGGGCCUGACUUCGGUGAAGGGAUUUAUAUCUGAACAAAGAGGGUGGAGAGCGCUACCUUAUUUAUCAGCGAGAGCCUUUGUCACCCUGGAGCUGGUGUGCCAGGGAAUAUUUCCUGAGAAUGGAAAUGCUGAGGUCAGCAGAACAUAACUGGCUGAAAACCCUGAAUUACAGAGGGUUUACACAUGGCUCUGCUUCCAGGAGCUGUGAGUUUCUGAAAUUGCCUUCACGUGGUGCUCCAUGCUUCUGAGCACAGCUGCAGUUAAUGGAUGGGCACUUGGCAAAGCUGUGACCACUGGAGAGCCCAGGCCACUGCCAUAUUUUUUUCUAACCCUUUCUUGCUGCUGUCUGUUUUCUCCCAUCCCAUGGCAGAGGGGAGCAAGAGGCUGGAUACAAACCCUGCUCCACAAAGGGAAGAUGUUAGAUGCUGACUUCUCUUUCAAGCAAUGUACGCCCGACCUAAGGCAGCGUCAGUGUUACAUGUAAUGGCACAUUGAAGAGGGGCAGCUCUGCUGGGACGUGCCAGGUGCCUGCAUUCCACUGCGCUUAAAAGAAGAGACCCGAAUACCUCAUCUCCUCCAGAUAACUGAACUGGAAACUUCUGCGAGGGUACAAGAUAUUACAAGGCAAUUUUAACUCGGUGUUAGGAGGAUCUCUUGCCACUGAGCAGUGGAGAUUACUUUAAUGCACAUGGUUUCUGUUUGUAGAUAAUUAAUGUUGUUUUAGGCAAUUGGAGCUAUUAAUGCUGCUUUGUAUUUGGGGUGCUGUUGUGUCUCAAUGCAAGUACAGACUGCUAUCUGCGUAUCCCAAGUGAUUCUUUUGUAUUCCUGUACACUUUGUGAUAAUGAAAUUAAGGCAUUCAUUAUGCUCAGAAAUAUUUGGAAUUGCUGAGGGUAGGGAGAAAAAAAAAAAAAAAACAACACAGAAUUCAGACACAACUCAUUAACCAACUGGUAACAAGUCAUUGCAGGUUAGCCGAUCUCUGGUAACUAUUCAUGUGGAUGGUCUUAGCCUGCAGCAUGUACAAAAGUAAUUCAGGUUGUUUUAGCCCUUAAGGUAAAGCCAGUCUGCCGAUUUGGAAGGGAUUACAUCUUUGAAGCCUUAAUCAGAUAAUUUCCAUUUAGCAGUGCUCCUUCUGCUCGUUGCACUGAUACGGUGCGGUGAGGCUGUGCAGGGAGAUGACACAUCUGAAUUCUAUCAAGGUGCUUACUUAGGCAGGAGUGAGGAAUAAAGGGGCUUUGUUUGGUUCCA
rnacentral:lncRNA from 1 species